rnacentral:rRNA from 1 species
GACGUAGGGCGCGAGCGUUGUCCGGAUUUAUUGGGCGUAAAGAGCUCGUAGGCAGCUUGUUGCGUCGGCUGUGAAAACCCGCAGCUCAACUGUGGGCUUGCAGCCGAUACGGGCAGGCUCGAGUUCGGUAGGGGAGACUGGAAUUCCUGGUGUAGCGGUGAAAUGCGCAGAUAUCAGGAGGAACACCGGUGGCGAAGGCGGGUCUCUGGGCCGAUACUGACGCUGAGGAGCGAAAGCGUGGGGAGCGAACAGG